CUGAGUGAGGGCCCUCCGGGUCCAACCUCCCACCCGUGUUUAUUCGUACCUUGUUGCUUCGGCAGGCCCGCCUCACGGCCGCCGGGGGGCUUCUGCCCCCGGGCCCGCGCCUGCCGGAGACAAUUCUGAACGCUGUCUGAAGAAUGCAGUCUGAGCGAUUAGCAAAAUUAGUUA
rnacentral:misc_RNA from 1 species